rnacentral:sRNA from 1 species
GGUAGGUGUAUAAGUAGUGGAGUUACUAGGUAUCAGCAUGGUCAGAGAAAGAAAAAAACUUUGAGGAUAGCACCAGCCCCCCUGGGACUCACCAACUUCGCCCCUCGGCCCAGACUUGGCCACACUAGUGGCUAACUGUGGCGCCAGGGUGGGAUCCGCCUCAAAAAAAGUCAGAUGUCAUCACAGUUUUGAAUGAGUCAUGACAUUUCAGGACAAUGUCAGUGUCAUACUAAAUCCUGGACACAUAAGGACCAUCAAUCCGGCUCUCCUCACGCUAUGGAAGGACUAAACCAAGUGUCCGGAUACCUUUGAAUCACACAUGAAAUAUGUCUAAGAAAUGGAUAGGGGCCGAGGUUUUCUUUCCUCCAAAUCAAAUGCGGGCAUCAUUCAACAACAUCACCACCCACUGUGCCCCCUCUUGCACUUUCCAGCGACCCAGCUAUGUCCACUGAAGCCUCACACUGCCUCCGUGUCCAACUUUGAGGCAUGGACAUGACUGCCUUAUCGCUUCUAGAACAAGUGACCCGUGACGGAUCAGCCUUCCAGAACUAUGACAUCCAAGGGAAUAACUUAUCGUUCAUUAUCUUCUGUCAUAACGAUAGCACUUUUUUUUUUUUCGAGAUUGCUAACCUUUCUUUAA